rnacentral:lncRNA from 1 species
UCAGAACAUCUCAUGUUCAAAUCCUCAUGUCUCAUUCAAAUUAUUAUACCAAAUCAUAACUAAACAUGCUGGACUUUUACCUUGAGCAACACCUUUCAACAGGCUAUCAAAUCAACUAAUACAAGACCAAACUUAAUUAUAUGUCAUUCAAACACUAGUCAACUAUUCAAACCAAUCAAAGUGUUAUUACCAUUACCAACUAGGACACUUCUUUCACCCAUAGCUAUUUUCAACACGACUGAUGCUAAACAUGAAAAUCAAAUCACUCGAAACUUCAGUUUUAUGGUGUGACAAUCAGCUCAUGCUCUAUUUACGAGUCCAAACAUUUCUAAUGAUAAACAUUGCAAGCAUAUAUGAAAUUGAAGGGAAAUGACUAAGACUCAUUGUGAACAUCUACAGUUCUUGAUCAAUUUUCAGAUACCAAACUUCAAAUGCACUUAAGUGAUGUCCAUAGUGUUUGAGAAUACCUGGAAAACAGAAUGACAGAAAAGGAAGAAGAUCAGCAAGAGCAGGACAGUGUCAACAGCAACAAUGGAACAGUAGUCUCUCAGUAGUUCAAAAUCAGUUUUAAAAACCCAAAAUCAGACCAUCUUCAACCCAGGUGCAAGAUGUGAAACUUUCAGAGAUUUAACUAAAUGAAGAAGAUCAGAAAUCCCCAGCUGACAUAGAAUUAUAUCAAUUUUUAUCAAAGAAAUAUGCUGGAAAUUAGUGCAGUUUCAGAAUUCUCAGCUGUUUUUGGUCUCAGAAUUUUUAUCUCGUUUCCAGUCUCUUCGGUCUGCCUUGAAAGUCAAGGUUAGAAUGCCUUUAUAGGCAAGCAAAGUAGGGCAUAUCAUAUUUCAGUUUUACCACUUAGGUCCUUUUUAAUUUCUGCUUUUUGCUUAAAAGUCCCUAAAAGUCCGACUUGCUGCCUAAGUUAAACCAUCCUACUCCUAAAAUUCAAUUAAAACCCAUACUAGAAGCCUCCCAUUCUGUUAUGAAAAGAUUCCCCAACCUAGACUACCCAAACUACCCUUACAACCCCUGAAAUUUACAUUGUACUCAAAUGGGAUAUGGGUCAAAUUGACCCUGGGUCGAAUCCGUUAGACAACCAGCCCAAAACUGGACUGAAAGGUAUAAACCUCCAGCCCAAACACAAUCAAACCAAUGAUUCUGAAUUAACAUGAAACAAACAGAAACAAUUCGAGCCUCUUUUUUUUCUUUAUCCAAUUAUUGAACUAACAUUAUUGACUGUUGAAACAGACUAUUUAAACCAACUAACUAAAAAUGAAAAGAUUCUUUAAACUAAUCAUGCAUAGGAAAAAAGGACGAUUUUAAAACACUAAGAAGUCCAGAAGAAGAGGAAGAAACAAAUGACAAUAAAAGAAGAAAAAAUGAAAGAAAAGUAAAGAAAACCAAGGAAAUACCUAAAGGCACGGACAGACAUGGAACAUCUUAAGAGCCUCCGUCACUUUCUUGACAAGAACAGUCUUUAAUUGUGUGUUUUCGUGUGAAAACACACGAUUAAAGGCCAUUAUGGCCUAGAACCGUAAAAAAAACCCCGUUGGAUUUGGAUUUGUGGAACUAGGGUUUUUCUCUUAUUUGAGAUUCGAACAGCUCCGGGGAGAUUCGAGGGAAGAGACUUCUGGAUUCGACAUGAGGGGGUCAUGGGGGUCUCAGGGUGUUAAUUUGGGAGUGAUUGGGAAAAGUUAAGUUUUGGUCUAAUUGUUGAUCUAAUAUUCGAGACGAACCAGUGGGAUUCGAAAGACACCGGUUAGGGAUUUGGGAAGAGGAGAUGAAAUGGGUCUUGGGGUGUAGUUUGGUGGCAGUUCACGGUGGAACCGCCGGCUUGGAGCGGUGGAAAAAGGGGGCGGCGGGCUAGGGUUUAUUGGUGAGAGUCUCAGGGGAGGGCUGAACGGGAUGGAAUGAAGGGGAGUGGGGCGACGUUUGGACAUACAAAUAUCCUUACCUCCCCAGUUC